CUACGGGGUGCAGCAGUGAGGAAUAUUGCACAAUGGGGGGAGCCCUGAUGCAGCAACGCCGCGUGGAGGAUGACGCAUUUCGGUGUGUAAACUCCUUUUAUAUGUCAAGAAAAUGACGGUAGCAUAUGAAUAAGCACCGGCUAACUCCGUACCAGCAGCCGCGGUAAUACGGAGGGUGCAAGCGUUACUCGGAAUCACUGGGCGUAAAGGACGCGUAGGCGGGUUGGAAAGUCAGGUGUGAAAUCCUACAGCUUAACUGUAGAACUGCACUUGAAACUUCUAAUCUAGAGUAUGGGAGGGGGAGGUGGAAUUAGUGGUGUAGGGGUAAAAUCCGUAGAUAUCACUAGGAAUACCUAAAGCGAAGGCGAUCUCCUGGAACAUUACUGACGCUAAGGCGUGAAAGCGUGGGGAGCAAACAGAAUUAGAUACCCCCGUAGUC
rnacentral:rRNA from 1 species